rnacentral:ncRNA from 1 species
CUAGUCCGACUUUGUGAAAUGACUUGAGAGGUGUAGAAUAAGUGGGAGCUCCGGCGCAAGUGAAAUACCACUACUUUUAACGUUAUUUUACUUACUCNGAACACACAAACCGAGAGCGGUACUCGGACGGAACAGG